UGCAUAGUGCUCGUGUUAGCGGCGGUAUACGGCAUUUUUUUCUUACAAUGUUUACAUAUUGUGUUCGUCUUGUUUGUCACUCUUUCGCCGUUUAUCAUUUCCGCAGGAAAACCAAAAUGUUGCCACACAAAUGAUUUAAAAGUGGCAGGGGGAUCUUCAAUAGUAAUUUCACGCUGACAUCACAUCGCCUCACGAGACAACUUUUCACCUCCACGAGAAAUCUCGUCACGUUUUAAUCUCGCGAUAUCUCGUAAAACGAGAUCUCGUCACACCCUUAAUAAAAACAUUUGGG